GUGUGACCUACUUUUUAAAAACCAUUAACACUCACGGGAAAACCGGAUCCCAAAUUUCGAUAACCAUUUUUCUUUGAAAUACUAUUCUAUUGCAUCACUGCUCAAAAGCUUGAAAGGUCAAUGGCCACUUUCAGUUGAAGCAGGGGCUAAGGGGAAGUUGGGCGAGGAAGAGGGAGGAGGCGUGGGGGAGGCGCGGCUUACAAACCUUGCCUGGUGCCCCCCCCUGCUGGCCCUAGGAGGAAACGUAAACCAGCUUCCUGCCUUCCGGGCCAGGCAGGAGUCCGGAAUGAUUCUCUCCACAAUUUUCCUGCUUUUGACACAUGCUGUUCCCUCUUCCUGGGAUGCCCUUCACCAGAACGGGUGUGUGGCCAGCUCUCAUUCUUCAGCUCCCAGCUCAGUCACCUCCACAAGACACUGUCCACAGUGGCUUCCAGUAAGCACAAUGCCAGCUGCAGAACACUAAAUAUUGUAGCAAAUGGGGCAGGUGCAUGGCUGCAAUGCUGAAGUGUCGUUCUACUUGAGGGGAGAAGGGAGAAGUGUCGUUCUACUGCUUCUGUGGCCUGCACUGAGGAAUGGCCAGGGCCUG